UAGUGGCAGACGGGAUAGUAACGCGUGGGAAUUUGCCCAAUAGUACGGAAUAACUGCGGGAAACUGCAGCUAAUACCGUGUACGCCCUCCGGGGGAAAGAUUUAUCGCUAUUGGAUAAGCCCGCGUCGAAUUAGCUUGUUGGUGAGGUAAUGGCUCACCAAGGCGACGAUUCGUAGCUGGUCUGAGAGGACGAUCAGCAUCACUGGGACUGAGACACGGCCCAGACUCC
rnacentral:rRNA from 1 species